CUGAUAUCGGGUUUAUUACUCAAGUAAGGGUAAAAAAGUAUCUGAUUAGAAUGCUACUUGGGUACUGAGUAUCAUCUGAUCUAAUAUUUUUAAAUGAUGACAUCAUAAUAAGACGUUAUGGGCAAAUAUUGGUAUUUUUAAGACUAAAGGGGAAAAAUGUAAACAAAUAAACAACAUAAUUACAAAAUAACACAUUUUAGGCAAAAUUUAGACACAAACUGAGGACAAUAUUUCCUGACAUACAGGGUUUAUUUAAUUGUGUGAAAAUGUAGCACGUUUAAAAAAAAUACCGCGAUACCGAAAACCGUGGUAAUUUUGGUCACAAUAACCGUGAGGUUACAUUUUCACACCGUGACGACCUUAAUACAGACCAUUUUAGAUUAGGUUACAUUUCCUUUAUUCCCAGAUUAUGUAGUUUGUAGCACUCAUUAUAAUGUUGUAGAAAAUUUCUGGCCAAUCCACGUGAUCGGUAUCGGUGAUCGGUAUCGGUGAUCAGCAUUCUUUGAUAUCGGUAUCGGUGAUCAGCAUUCUUUGAUAUCGGUGAUCGGCAGCAAAAAACCUGAUCGGUGCAUCCCUAGUUAAGGGUUAACCACGUUUGUGACUGAGAUGUUUCCUCGUGCUGCAGCUGCAUCCAUAAAUACGUCUGCAUUUGUUAAAACCUGCAUCUCUCUUGCUUCUGUCCUUAUUCUGUUACAUAAUCUGAUUAAUGAUCCUUCCUCCGGUUACACGUUGGACUCGUGGAUCUUCUCUGAACCAAAAGUAGGUCUCCUCCUAGUUUAAAAUGUAAAUAGGUCACUGGUCUCUGCAGCUGAAGGAAUUUUAAAAGGCACAGCUGGUUUCUGCCUCUCUUACAUGAGCACGAAAAGUAAAGAUGGCUGAAGGACAAUCAGAGUUUAAAUAGUCAGAUUUUCUAGGAAUGUUUCCUGUUGAUAUUUUUGAUGAAGUCCUAUUCCGAUAGAUGUUUGAUUUAUAGACCCAUUUAUUUUCAGCCGUUUGGUGUUUUGUUCCAGAGAACGUGAAGGAUUGGAGCAACGUGGUGCUGGCGUAUGAACCAGUGUGGGCCAUCGUCACUAGCCAGACAGCCACACCUGAGCAGGCUCAGGAGGUCCAUCAGAAACUGAGAUCCUGGCUCAGAGCAAACCUCUCAGACGAAGUGGCCGAUUCUGUCCGCAUCAUUUACGGAGGUCAGCCACAAAUUUUUAUAUUUAUUUAUUUAUUAUUUAUUUUAAUCCUAAUUAGUUGUGUUUUAGUAACUUUCUACAGCGUGUGGAGCCGUUCUCUUCCAGAGAAACAUUACAUGUGUCACUGCUACGGAAGCACAUUACUGUCAGUGCAAGGAUUAAAAUAAAGGUGCUGUGUCUGAUAACAACACACACUCAACAAAAAUAUGAACUUAACACCUUUGUUUCUGCUCCGAUUUUUCAUGAGAUGGACUUAAAGAUCUAAAAUUCACACCUGUGCACUACUCAUGAUGUCAGAUCAGCAUCUUGAUGUGGCACACCUGUGAGGUGGGAUGGAUUAUCUCAGCAAAGCAGAAGUGCUCACUAUCACACAUUUAGACUGAUUUGUGAACAAUGUUUGAGAGAAAUGGUGAUAUUGUGUAUCUGGAAUAAAUUUUAGGUCUUUAAGUCCAUCUCAUGAAAAAUCGGAGCAGAAACAAAGGCGUUAUCCCCCAGGUGUUGGCGUUAUCCCCCGGGGAAACUACACACUGUCGCUUUAAAGUAGAAAAAAGACAAUAAAAACAACCUGGCUGAAAUUGUAAAUUAACUUUAUUAUUUCACAUAUUUUCACACAGUUUUCAGUGACAAGCGUUCUGAUGGUGUUUUAUUAUUUCAUUGCUCUUUCUUCUGUUUCAACAGCAGCUAUUCUAUGGGCAUUCAGGGGAAAUCAAAGGGGGUUUAUUUUAUUUUACUCUUUCUUUAAGACGGGGAGAAGACUUCAAGCAUGAAUGACAGGAUCACACCGGCGUGAGAAGAAAAAGGAACACGGUCACAGACGGGACAAGAAGGAGAAUCAAAGAGAAAGGAGGUGUGAGGAGUGCAGGUACUCCAGUGUCCAGGUGAGUGCACGGCUGAGUGUGUGUACAGGUGUUACAGAGUGUCGCUUUAAUGCCAGUAAAACUGCAUAAUCCUCGUUUUGGUCUUUAAUGCUUGAUGCUUCCCUUUUCUUCGGUCUAAAUGAUUCUAAUUUCUCUACUCAUGAUCUGAUGAAUCUGUAUUUUUGCAGAUUUGUCCUCUGGCUGUACGUGAACUAUUCCUACAGUAACAGUGCAUGUCUGGCUUUUAUUUAUCGGGGUUUUCUCCUGCGUGUGCGUUAUUGUCUUCACGUGCGUGUGUGUGUGUGUGUGUGUGGACGUGCAUACAGUAUCACCUCCCUCCUUCAAGUCCAGUGCAUAAAUUGUUUAUU